rnacentral:misc_RNA from 1 species
AACACCUCAACUCCCUUUCUUCUUGAAAUGGAGCUGGACUUGAGUGAUCCCAACGCUUUAUUCAUAAAGUGGCGGGUUACUUGAAAUGCAGGUGCAGCUGGACUUUUCUCUGAGCUAUAAGCAUAUCUAUUUAGUCUGCCUAAAAAACAGAUUAUUACCUUUGCUGCAGCUAACAUAAAGGAGAUUAGUUCUUGUGCUGACUGAUGCAGGAUUCACAGAGACAGCUUCGGCUGGCCUUUGUAA